GCGAAUGAAUUCAACGGUCUGCUUCAGCUUCCCAAGCUGAAUGUCGUCGGUUCGAUCCCGAUCGCCCGCUCCA
rnacentral:tRNA from 1 species